CUGAAGCUAUGGAAGUAGUUUGUGACUGUUUUGUUUCCACAAAGUUUGAAUUAUUUUCUUCACUUCAUUUGAGAAAUAUAGGUGGAUUGAGAGACAUUCUUCAUUCAAACAAAAGUUUAACAGCUAUUUCUAAAACACAUAUCAUCUGAAGCUAUGGAAGUAGUUUGUGACUGUUUUGUUUCCACAAAGUUUGAAUUAUUUUCUUCACUUCAUUUGAGAAAUAUAGGUGGAUUGAGAGACAUUCUUCAUUCAAACAAAAGUUUAACAGCUAUUUCUAAAACACAUAUCAUAUGUGCACUGCGAGUCCUCGAACAGCUCCACGCGUCUCCAGCUCUGCCCAAGCCCGAGCCACGCGACGGGCUGUGAUCGCGCACGGACCAGACGAGAGCUCUUCAACUGUGUGAUCCAAAUGAAUUUGAGAACACCUAUUUACUGCUCCGCCCUGUGUCCUGCUGGCCAGAAGUGCCCAUCAAUUUCAAAGGCCUCUGUGUGACUGGAUUGAGGAAGCCAAGAGCAGGGAGAAGAAUAGAUCCAGGUCUUCCCAUUACUCCAAAAUGGAGCCUAGCCCUCUGGCAGCACAGUCGGCCAGCUGGGACCACGGUGGCCAUUACUGGAAGUGUGAUCAUCUGCCCUCUCUCCUCAGUGCCCUUGGAAUAUGUGCUCUUCUGUCUGGCUUCAAUUUCUCUUACUUCUUUGUGUGUGAAGAGUCUUCCUUUCAAUCAGCAAACUCUUCCUGCACACUAUAAAGCCCACUUUGGUCUUCAGAAUCUUUCAGUGCCUGAGCUUGUCAGUAUGAGGUUUCUCUUUCUUUAUUUCCAAAUGUCCUGCUUUCUUUGUGUGCAACUUCUUAAGAAUUUGGCAAAGUAAACAACAAAGCAGCAAUAUUUCAUAGGGUUUAAACUUCCCUUUGGUCCUGGAUAGAAAGGAUUUUUUUUUUUUUUUUGAGACGGAGUUUUGCUCUUGUAGCACUGGCUAGAGUGCAAUGGCGCAAUCUUGGCUCACUGCAACCUCUGCCUCCUGGGUUCAAGGGAUUCUCCUGCCUCAGCCUUCCGAGUAGCUGGGAUUACAGGCACCCACCACCACGCUGGCUAUUUUUUUUGUAUUUCUCAGGAGAGACAGCAUUUCACCAUGUUGGUCAGGCUGGUCUCGAACUCCUGACCUCAGGUGAUCCACCCACCUUGGCUUCCCAAAGUGCUGGGAUUAUAGGCCUGCCACCUGGAUCUAUUCUUCUCCCUGCUCCUGGCUUUUUCAAUCCAGUCACAAAGAGGCCUUUGAAAUUGAUGCCUGCCACCACACCUGGCAGAAAGGAUGUUUUUGUUUCUUCUUUUUCCUGUUCCUUUCUCUGCAAUCAUCUCUCUGAGUCUCAGACAUGUGGCACUGGUUGGCUGGCAGCACCUUCUGUGUGUCUGAGCCCUUACAUAGCUUCCAGAGGAAGGGGUGCUCCGUUGGGGUCCUGCCUGCUUUUGGAGCAUUAGAAUCUCCUUUUUUGCAAGCCUCUGUCUCCCAUCAUUUAACACCCAGCUGUGUCUCUCUGCCCACUGACCAGAAUCUUUUCGCAGUAGGUGGGUUUUAAAAAGCACUCACCAGAACUCCCAAAUGCUAGGGUCUCAUGGCCCCUCAAAAACUCAUUACCUUCUCUUUGGGAUCCUCAGACCUGGCAGGAACCUCACAUAGGAAGAAAGGCAGCCAGGGAGCAGGCAGUGAGGACAGGUUGUAAUCAGGCAGUUCUGGCUGGGCAUAAAGUCUGCUCCUGCUGAAGGCAAGCUGCUCAACACUGCACUGGACAUCCUCCAUGUGUGGAAUCUAGGCAAAGCAGCUCUGUCCUCUAUUAACAAAUAACUGAGCCUGGGCAAUCUGUUACUUCAACUGUCCUUUCAAGCCAGGCUUUGCAGUAACAGGAAUUUGAGGUCCAGCAUGCAGAGACAGACCUAAGUGUGAGCCUCUGCUACUUAUGAGCUGUGUGACCUGGGGCAAAUUACUUAACCUCUCUAUACCCUAUUCCCUUCACUUGUGCAAUAAGAAUAAAUAAUACCACACACUUCGGAGGCAUGGCGUAAGACUCAAAUGACUAAUAUAGGGAUAGUUCAGGGGCAGAUACACGGUUGGAAAGCACACUAGAAAUAUCAGUAGAAUCUGAAUUUUCCCCUACCUGCCUCCUUGUUUUCACUACAAAUAACAUUUCCUUUCCUGCUUUUAAGUCAAGAGGGGAACACACUGAUUCUUUAGCAGACAGUUUAGCACACACUUCAAGCCAGAGAGUGUACCAGCAAUGUGGAUUCAGAAAUAAAUAUGAUGGGAGCCCUGCUCUCACAGGAUGGGGUUGGGGGUGGGGGAUAAAGUCCCAAGGGAGUUGGACAGUCUCCAGAUGGGUAGUCACUGCUGGGCAGAAACACAUGAGGGAAGUGUCAGGAGCCCGAAAGAAGCUCUGAACAGGUUGGAACACGUUUUCUGGAGGAUGGGACAUUGAAACUGAAUCACCUACAAUGUUGAAGGCAGAUGGUAACCUAAGAAAGGUAAAGCCUUGUUAAUCAAAUCAAUUCUUUUCACUUUAACUGUAUUGGAAAGAUACUUUAAAAAAUCUUCAUAACAACUGAAGCUCGAUGAUGCCUUGAUUCUGCAUUAACAUCCUUGCCCAUUUCUUGAUACAUUUUCAAUUUACCUUCAUGGUAAUUUACACUCAAGGAAGCUGUCCAAGAUAUGCGGGGGAUUCAAUAAAAUAGGUCAUGGAGUUAAAUGCUGUGGUGAAACACAGGGCUUAAUUUUAUGGAUAAAAUUUAAACUGCUUAGCUGCCUUUUUUGCAUUAUUCAUGUUAAGACUAAUGAUUACUCACUAAAUGGGAAGGAAUCACUGUAGAAAUCAGGAAGCCAUUUUCUUAAUUCUUUAAGCACAUCUGAUGGAGCUGUGGACUCUGCCCUUGAGGUUAACAGCAUUGUAUUAGGGAAGAGACCUGCUUGGCCCACCAGUCAACCUCCCUUGCCUGGGCUGCUCCUGAAACUGCUACAGGAACAGGAAACUUGAAACAAGAUUUUUUCCUAAAAUUGACAUUGGGUAGAAUGAACAGGAUAGAAGACAAUAUAUUAAUGUCAGUUCCUUCUGGUAUUUUUCAAAGUGAAGUCUGCAUUGAUGUCAUUGACAAAAAUGCAAAUUCCAGAUUGUAACCAAAUCUGCUUACUGGCAGUGAGGUUUAGGCACUUUAAUUAUUCACAAGCAUCCCAGGCAAUUCUUAUGUGCUAGUGGAGAACCACAGAUUGGCAUUGGCUAUAGAGAGACCACUUCCUUUCAGUCAUCCAAGGUUAUUUUAUUAACUUAGCACUGGGCUCCAACGUAAACAAGGGCUACUUUUCUAUAAUGAUCAAAUUACUAAUUUUAUAAGUAUAGAAUAAAAGGAUAUGGGUUUCUUAGAUUGUAAAUGUUUGAUGUAGUUAAUGCAAUUUCAUUUUUGAGGUUUGUUUCUAAUAAUACUCUUAAUUUACAUGUCUAAUGGAUUCCUUGUACACAAUUCUGAUCAUGUAAAUUUAAGAUGAUCUUUUCCACUUUGCAAUACAAGACAUUUAAAAUAACCUAAAGUUGCCCAUUCUCACUAAGCACCUGAAAAUUAGUCCCUGUGGGGAAACUUUUUUCAAGUUUUAUUUUUCUUUUUAUUUCAAGUGUUGUUUAUAUUGUUUCUCUAACUGUUCUACCUAAUGAUUGAUAGGCACCUACCUUCCCCAAAGAAAAAGGGUUAAGUGAUCAAAUAUGUUUGGGAAACACGAGGGCAAACAAAGUGAAACAGACUUUUACUGCAGAUUGCGGAUCCUUUGAGAGCCCUUAAUGUGCACAGUAAUUCUCCAAGAAGGGGACAGAAGUCCCUGGGCUUCCCAUGCUUGUUUAGUUUUUAUGGAUCCCUCUGCUGGAUGAGUGUUCACAGGACCACACUUUGUGAAAUACUCAGUCAGCUCUAUCAGCAAAUUAUAUCACGGGAAUUGGUUACUUUCAUUUGGAUGCUUUGCCCAUGUUACCCAGACUUAGGAAAAUAUUUUACAAUUUGGGGUGUAUAUGAGAUAUUUGGGGGCAUUUUCUCCAAUAUCAACUUCCUGCUUCUGAAAUUCAGGUUAAAACACUGACCUAAAUUACGGAAAUCACAAUCUCCUUCACCAUCACCAACAGUGCCACCAUCAUCAAAUCAUGAUCAGCAUCGACCAACACGAUGAUUCCCACUACCACUAUCACAUUAAUAGCACCACUACCAUCCUACCGUGCCCAGCGAGACAACUGCCAUCACGGUCACUAUGACCAACACCAUAUUACCACCGCUGCCACUAAUAUGCCUCAUUGCUAUGCCAAUAAUCACUAACAGCAUUACCACCACACUCCAACUAACCAAUGCUGCUGCCAUCAUUACUGCCAUGAUCUGUACUACCACCACUGCCACUAGUGCAAACAUCACCACUACUGCUGUUAAAGCAGCCACCACCACUGCACCCACUGUCGCCACUGUCCUUUCCACAUCCAGAUGAAGAAAGAAGAAGAGAUAGAAAGCAUAGUUUCAUUAUUCUAGGUCAUAUUCAAAGGUUGGUCACUAGAUAUAAUUGCACAUAUGUUCCCCUAGUUACUAUGGCAUCCCAAUAGCCAUCAAGUGGAACCAGACAUGGUAUCAUAGCAGAAUCCUGAGGUCUAAGGUCUAGUUUAAAUAAGACUUCUGAUCCAAGGUAGGGGUCCCUCAAUUACCUCUAUGACAGGAGGCAAAGAUGUCACACACGACUGCAUGUCAGCUAAACUCAUUGGAAGAUUCAUUUCUGCCUUCAUAAAUGUAGACACUGGGCUUCAGCUAGUUGUAAGGGAGCAGCCCCUGGUGCAAGCCACGUAGCAACUAGAGGGGCUUUAAAAUCAGCACAAAAUUAAGUUUUAUUGCUGCUUUGAGGAAUGUUCAGGUUGGUGGGAGGGGAUUACAGCAGACAAGUGUUUAAUUUACUCAACUAUAUGCUCAAGUUUAUGUAACUGAGCUAUUUUAAAAUUACAUUUUAUGUAUGCAUUGCUGUAUAUAUUGCACAUAUAUAAAUGUACAAUAAUAAUAAAGAGUGGCAUAUAUGAGUCUCAGGAAUUGUGCCAAAGGCUUUACAUAUACUCUCUUUAAUCCUUUUAACUCCUGUAUGAAAGGAGUGUGACUGUCAUUCUCAUUUUCCUAAUGAACAAACUGUGGCAUGAAGAGGUUAAAUAAUUAGCCUAAGCUUACAAAGCUAAUUAAUUGUAAGACUAAGAUCUAAACCCAGGUAGUCUGGUUCCAGGGCCCAUGAUCUUAACCAACACUCUACAUUUUAACACACUGUCUGCACAUUGUCUACACACAGAUGCAGUGUGUGUACAUCAGUUGUAUAAAUAUAUCAUCUUGCAUGAAGUAAUUUAAGGGAUGUUCAAGGAUAUUGUUGAUUAUAUGCAAUUUAUCUCAUGUGCUGAUUUUUAAGCCUAGUCCCAGAGGAAAUGCAAGUUCACUGAAAUCUAAGGGGGGAAAAAAGACACGAAAAACCAACAAGUGCAAAGCAGUGUGGUGCAGAAUGUGGUGGCAGAGCAACAACCACUCUCAGCAAAAUCCUCAUUAAUUCAUGCCACAAAGAAGCCAACUGCUGGUUCUCCACUCUGAAUGAUCAUCGCUUCCCAUUUGGAAGACAAAGAUGGUUACUGGCCUUGGCAUAUUAACCCUGGAGCUGCCUCCUCAGGAAGUGAAGAGUUGGGCUUGGCUGGCUGGUAUAGCAGCAGCGACAGCAGCAGAGACAGCAUGGCCUGCUCAGAAGGGGCGCCCUAGUUGCCAAGGAUGAGGGCACUGGCUUUGCACUCUUUGAGACUGGGGCUUUACCUAACAAACACUUGCAAAACUUAUUACCCCUCCAGUCCUCAAGUUUCCUUGUACCUAUAGAAUAGGAAUGUUAAAACUUACUUCACACAACUGUUUUGAGGAUGAAUUGGCUAUUUGAAAACUUGGGCACUGGAAGAAGUCCAGUGAAGGACAGUGUCACUUCCGCUGUUCACCCUUUCAUGCUUAAUUAACAUUUAAUUAAUCAAAUAUGUUGUUUCUUUUUGUAUUUUUUUAACUGAGAUAAAUGUAGAUUUACAUAUAGUUGUAGAAAUAAUACAGAAUUAUCCCGUGUACCCCUUACCUAGUUACCCCCAAUGGUAACAUCUUGCAAUAUUAUACCACAAUGUCACAACCAGGAUAUUCAGAUAGAUGUCAUCCACUGAUCUUACUCAAAAUUCACUCAUUUUCCAUACAGUCCUUUGAUUGUGUGGUAGUUCUGUGAAAUUUCAUCCCAUCUGUAGUUUUCAUGUAAUCAUCGCCACAGUCAAGGCACAGAAUGCUUCACUUCCAUCACUAUAAGGAACCCUUGUGUUGCCCUUUUAUAACCACACCCACUUCUCUCCUGUCUCCCAAACUCCAUCUCUAAUCCCUGUUAACCACUGAUAUGUUCCUUACUUACACAAUUUUAUCAUUUCAAGAAAGUUACAGAUAUUGAAUCACAUAGUAUGUAACCUUUUAGGAUUGGUGUUUUUCACUCAGCAUUAUUCCCUGGAGAUCAUCCAAGUUGUUGCACGAAUGAUUUGUUUCUUUUAUUGCUGGGGAGUAGUCUAUGGUAUGGAUGUAUCACAGUUUAAUUAUUCGCCCCUUGAAGGACAUUUGGGUGGUUUCUAGUUUCUGGCUAUUGUAAAUGAAACUGUGAUGAACGUUUGUGUACAGGUUUCUGUGUGAACACAAGUUUUCAUUUCUCUGGGAUAAAUGCCUGUGAGUGCAACUGCUGGGUCAUAUGGCAAUUGCAUGUUUAGUUUUACAAGAAACUGCCAAACUGCUUUCCAGAGUGGCUGUGCCAUUUUAAAUUCCCUCCAGCAAUUAUAAGAGGUGCAGUUUCUCGGCAUUCCUUCCAAAAUUUGAUGGUGUUGCCAUUUUUUAUCUUAGCCAUUUUGGCAGGUGUGUAGUAAUAUCUUAUUGUGGGUUUUACGUUGCAUUUCCCUAAUUGUUAAUGUUGUUAAAUAUUUUCUCAUGUGCUUAUCCGCUAUCUGUGUAU
rnacentral:lncRNA from 10 species